AGAGUUUGAUCCUGGCUCAGAACGAACGCUGGCGGCAUGCCUAACACAUGCAAGUCGAACGGGAUCCAGGCUUCGGCCUGGUGAGAGUGGCGGACGGGUGAGUAACGUCGUGGGAACCUGCCCAAUGGUCUGGGAUAACCGCGGGAAACUGCGGCUAAUACCGGAUAAGCCCGAGAGGGGAAAGAUUUAUCGCUGAUGGAGGGGCCCGCGUCCGAUUAGGUAGUUGGUGAGGUAACGGCUCACCAAGCCGACGAUCGGUAGCUGGUCUGAGAGGAUGAUCAGCCACACUGGGACUGACGAUACGGCCCAGACUCCUACGGGAGGCAGCAGUGGGGAAUAUUGGACAAUGGGGGCAACCCUGAUCCAGCAAUGCCGCGUGAGUGAUGAAGGCCUUAGGGUUGUAAAGCUCUUUUGGCGGGGACGAUGAUGACGGUA
rnacentral:rRNA from 1 species